rnacentral:tRNA from 1 species
AGCUUUAUAGUUUAAAUAAAACAGUAAUCUUGUAAAUUAAAAUUAAAUAUUAAUUUUAAAGCUU